AAAAAAUUAGUUAAAAUAUAACAUUAGCUUGUCAAGCUAAAAUUAUUAUACAAAUAAUAUUUUUUA
rnacentral:tRNA from 1 species